UACGUAGGGGGCAAGCGUUGUCCGGAUUUAUUGGGCGUAAAGAGCGUGUAGGCGGCCAGACAGGUCCGUUGUGAAAACUCGAGGCUUAACCUCGAGAUGUCAUCGGAAACCAUCUGGCUAGAGUCCGGAAGAGGAGAGUGGAAUUCCUGGUGUAGCGGUGAAAUGCGCAGAUAUCAGGAAGAACACCAAUGGCGAAAGCAGCUCUCUGGGACGGUACUGACGCUGAGACGCGAAAGCGUGGGGAGCGAACAGG
rnacentral:rRNA from 1 species